rnacentral:rRNA from 1 species
AGCGAACGCUGGCGGCAGGCCUAACACAUGCAAGUCGAACGAACUCUUCGGAGUUAGUGGCGGACGGGUGAGUCACACGGGGGAACGUGCCUUUUGGCUCGGAAAAACACAGGGACACUUGUGCUAAUACAGAAAGUGUCCCGCGGGGGAAAGAUUCAUCGUGAUUAUAGCGGCACGCGACUGACUAGCCAGUUGGGGAGGUAACGGCCCAUCAAGGCGUAGAUCAGUAGCUGGUCUGAGAGGAUGACCAGCGACACUUGGACUGAGACGCGGCCCAGAAUACUACAGGAGGCAGCAGUGGGGAAUCUUGCGCAAUGGGCGAGGGCAUGACGCAGCCAGGCCGCGUGAAUGAUGAAGGUCUGAGGAUAGUACAAUUCUUUCACCGGGGACGAUAAUGACGGUACCCGAAGAAGAAGCCCCGGCUAACUUCGUG